rnacentral:tRNA from 1 species
AAUAAAGUGGCCGAGCUAACAGGCGAAAGAUUGUAGCUCUUUUAACGAGUAUACCUCCUUUAUUA